rnacentral:rRNA from 1 species
UACGUAGGGGGCAAGCGUUGUCCGGAAUCAUUGGGCGUAAAGCGCGUGUAGGCGGCCAGGUAGGUCUGCUGUGAAAACUCGAGGCUCAACUUCGAGAUGUCGGCGGAAACCAUCUGGCUAGAGUCCGGAAGAGGAGAGUAGAAUUCCUGGUGUAGCGGUGAAAUGCGCAGAUAUCAGGAGGAAUACCCGUGGCGAAAGCGGCUCUCUGGGACGGUACUGACGCUGAGACGCGAAAGCGUGGGGAGCAAACAGG